UGAACCUGCGGAGGGAUCAUUACACAAAUAUGAAGGCGGGCUGGAAUCUCUCGGGGUUACAGCCUUGCUGAAUUAUUCACCCUUGUCUUUUGCGUACUUCUUGUUUCCUUGGUGGGUUCGCCCACCACUAGGACAAACAUAAACCUUUUGUAAUUGCAAUCAGCGUCAGUAACAAAUUAAUAAUUACAACUUUCAACAACGGAUCUCUUGGUUCUGGCAUCGAUGAAGAACGCAGCGAAAUGCGAUAAGUAGUGUGAAUUGCAGAAUUCAGUGAAUCAUCGAAUCUUUGAACGCACAUUGCGCCCUUUGGUAUUCCAAAGGGCAUGCCUGUUCGAGCGUCAUUUGUACCCUCAAGCUUUGCUUGGUGUUGGGCGUCUUGUCUCUAGCUUUGCUGGAGACUCGCCUUAAAGUAAUUGGCAGCCGGCCUACUGGUUUCGGAGCGCAGCACAAGUCGCACUCUCUAUCAGCAAAGGUCUAGCAUCCAUUAAGCCUUUUUUUCAACUUUUGACCUCGGAUCAGGUAGGGAUACCCGCUGAACUUAAGCAUAUC
rnacentral:rRNA from 1 species